rnacentral:rRNA from 1 species
GUGACAUGCGGAAGGAUCAUUG